rnacentral:rRNA from 1 species
UCUUGAGAGCGGCGUACGGGUGCGGAACACGUGUGCAACCUGCCUCAUUCUGGGGGAUAGCCUUUCGAAAGGAAGAUUAAUACCCCAUAAUAUAUUUUUCGGCAUCGAAAGAUAUUGAAAACUCCGGUGGAUAGAGAUGGGCACGCGCAAGAUUAGAUAGUUGGUGAGGUAACGGCUCACCAAGUCUGCGAUCUUUAGGGGGCCUGAGAGGGUGAUCCCCCACACUGGUACUGAGACACGGACCAGACUCCUACGGGAGGCAGCAGUGAGGAAUAUUGGACAAUGGGUGAGAGCCUGAUCCAGCCAUCCCGCGUGAAGGACGACGGCCCUAUGGGUUGUAAACUUCUUUUGUAUAGGGAUAAACCUACCCUCGUGAGGGUAGCUGAAGGUACUAUACGAAUAAGCACCGGCUAACUCCGUGCCAGCAGCCGCGGUAAUACGGAGGGUGCAAGCGUUAUCCGGAUUUAUUGGGUUUAAAGGGUCCGUAGGCGGAUCUGUAAGCAUGUGGUGAAAUCUCACAGCCAUACUGUGAAACUGCCAUUGAUACUGCAGGUCUUGAGUGUUGUUGAAGUAGCUGGAAUAAGUAGUGUAGCGGUGAAAUGCAUAGAUAUUACUUAGAACACCAAUUGCGAAGGCAGGCAUCAUAGCAACAACUGACGCUGAUGGACGAAAGCGUGGGGAGCGAACAGGAUUAGAUACCCUGGUAGUCCACGCCGUAANCGAUGCUAACUCGUUUUUGGGUUUUCGGAUCAUGAGACUAAGCGAAAGUGAUAAGUUAGCCACCUGGGGGAGUACGAACGCAAGUUUGAAACUCAANGGAAUUGACGGGGGCCCGCACAAGCGGUGGGACAUUGUGGUUUUAAUUCGAUGAUACGCGAAGGAACCCAUCCAAGGCUUAAAUGGGGAAAUGACAGGUUUUA